UUCAGAAAUAAGAUUAGAUGUGGAAGGAGUGUAAUGUGUUGUUGGCUUACUCGCACAAUGGUGGUGCGAUUAAAUUUUUGAAGCCCCACUCACUUUUCUCCAGUGUUUGAUGGUUUCGGGUUGAAGAUCCCGAUCCCGAUCCCGCACGUUCUCCAUUUCCAAGCAACACAACAACACAACACAAAGCAACACUUUCCUUUCUCUUUCUCUCUCUCAGAUCCCCAAAAAACCCACACUCACCAUUCAAUCCAUCACAUUAGCGCAAAGGAAUCAUCACAAGACUUCAAUUGAAAUCGCAAUCGUAAUGUGAUGGAUUCCCCACCUUCCCAGCAAUCGUGGGGAAGGUCACCCACCUCCCUCUCUUCGUCUGCUUCUCUUUCCAAAUCAAAUUCCGAUUCCAUUCAAAGCCUCUCAUCGAUCCUCAAUAAUCCUCACGCCUCUGAUGCCGCAUCCUGGGGCGCCUGGUGGUCCUCCGCCACCGCAGUCGCCCCGCCCGAGUUUGCUCCCAUCGCUGUUGCCAAGGCUGCCUCCGAGGUUUCCCGAUCGGACUUCCACAACUACGUCGCCCCUAUCGCCGAAGCCUACCAUCGCUUCGAGGACAUCCGUAACCACUCCUCCAAGGAACAGAUCAACGACCUCGCCAAUGCUGCCGCCGCCUCCGGCCAGGGUGAGGCGCUCGUCGCCUGCCUCCGCGAGGUUCCCGCGCUCUACUUCAAGGAGGACUUCCGCCUCGAGGACGGAGCUACGUUCCGCGCCGCCUGCCCCUUCGCCAACGUUGCCGAGAACCUCGCGCUGCAGGAGAAGCUCUCGCACUACCUCGAUGUUGUGGAGCUCCAUCUCGUGAAGGAGAUCUCGCUCCGCUCGUCCUCGUUCUUCGAGGCGCAGGGGCAACUGCAGGACCUCGAUGCUAAGAUCCUCCACGGUUGCACGCAAAUUCGCCAUCUCAAGGACACCAUUCGCCUCCUCGACGCCGAUUUGGUCCACGACGCGCGCCAGAUUCAGGAGCUCAAUGGCACCAGGACAAACCUCUUGGCGCUCCUGCAGAAACUCCGGCUAAUAUUCUACGUCAACCAGGCCCUCUCAGCUCUCAAAUUGCUUGUUGCAUCUGCAGAUUGUGCUGGAGCGUUAGAUGUGACUGAUGAUUUGCAACAUUUACUGGAUGGAGAUGAGCUCAGUGGUCUACAUUGCUUUAGGCAUCUUAGAGAUCAUGUAAUAGGCUUUAUAGAAUCCAUAAACAGCAUUCUUUCAGCAGAGUUUAUUCGGGCUUCCUUACAAGAUGCUGCAGAAAAAGAUGGGAUAAUUUUAUCCAAAGCUAAAGCAAAAGCCUCCCUUCCAAUGAAUGGAAAGGAUGAUGAAGUAAAGUUGGAAGAAGAGGAAAGCAAUAAUUUCAAAGAUUGUCUGCUUCCUACAGUAAUUGGAUUGCUCAGAACUGCUAAACUUCCCUCUGUUCUGAGGACUUAUAGAGAUACACUGACUGCUGAUAUGAAGAGUGCUAUUAAGACUGCUGUUGCUGAGUUGCUUCCAGUUCUUGCUUCUCGAGGUUCAGAGUCAGAGUUCUUUUCUGGAGACAGAACUGUAGAUGCAGAUGGUGGAGGUGCAUCACUUGCUAGCAAGUUGAGGAGCCUAUCAUCUGACUGCUUUGUUCAUCUUUUGAGUGCUAUUUUCUUGAUAGUACAGGCACAUUUAGUGCGGGCUGCUGAAGUGAAAAAGGCCAUUGAAUGGAUUUUGAACAAUCGUGAUGGUCAUUAUGCUGCUGAUUCAGUUGUGGCAGCUAUUGCUCAUGGUGCUGCAGCUGCAGAAACAUCACAAGAAAGUGAGGUUCAUGGUACUACGUUUUUGCCAUAUUCGGCACAAAGAAGUGUUGCCAAGGGUUCUUCAUUUCAGGGAAAAUCAAUUGAUGCUGUGAACUCCUCCAACAUGUCAAAAAAUUUCAGAGCUGAUAUAUUGCGAGAAAACGCAGAAGCCGUCUUUGCAGCAUGUGAUGCGGCUCAUGGAAGAUGGGCAAAGCUUCUUGGGGUCCGUGCAGUUCUUCAUCCUAGGUUGAAAUUGCAGGAGUUUCUAGCCAUAUACAACAUUACCCAGGAGUUCAUUACAGCUACAGAAAAAAUUGGUGGGAGAUUGGGAUACAGCAUCCGUGGGACACUGCAAUCACAGGCCAAGGCUUUUGUUGAUUUUCAGCAUGAAUCACGGAUGUCAAAGAUUAAGGCAGUGCUUGACCAGGAAACCUGGGUGGAGAUAGAUGUUCCUGAUGAAUUUCAAUCCAUUGUCAAUGUGCUUUUUGCGUCUGAUAAUUUAACUUCUGAGAACUUUAAUGACAACGAGGAUGAUAAUUCAACCAGUUACAAUGGUGUGGUCACUAACCAUGAUUCUAUGCCAAUGGUAAACAGCAGUGCUGAACAUGAAAUUAUGCGGGCUAAUUCCAUUGAAGCAUCUAUGAAUAAUGAAAUAUCAGAUAAACCCAAAUCCCUUGAUGAUUCAGUGGAACCAAAUAAAGGUCACAGUAGGAUUACAUCAGCACAUAGUAACAAUACUGAGAAGGACCACAAAAAAUCUGCAUCUCAGGCUCUUAAUUACAAAGGUGUUGGUUAUCACAUGGUCAACUGUGGCUUAAUAUUGCUGAAGAUGUUGUCAGAGUACAUUGAUAUGAACAACCUUUUGCCAACACUUUCUUCGGAAGUUGUUCACCGUGUAGUAGAAAUAUUGAAGUUCUUCAACACGAGAACAUGCCAACUUGUUCUUGGGGCUGGUGCUAUGCAGGUGUCUGGUUUGAAGUCCAUCACAUCUAAGCACCUGGCAUUGGCAAGUCAAGUAAUUAGUUUCGUACAUGCUAUUAUUCCUGAGAUUCGGCAGAUUCUUUUUCUCAAAGUACCUGAGACAAGAAAAAUACUCUUGCUUUCUGAGAUUGAUCGGGUUGCCCAGGAUUAUAAAGUUCACAGAGAUGAAAUACAUAGUAAAUUAGUUCAAAUAAUGCGAGAAAGAUUACUAGUACAUCUACGUGGGUUGCCUCAAAUUGUUGAGAGUUGGAAUAGACCUGAGGAUGCAGAUCCUCAGCCUAGUCAAUUUGCCCGGUCCCUUACUAAGGAAGUUGGGUACCUCCAACGUGUUCUAUCUCGAACUUUGAAUGAAGAAGAUGUUCAAGCAAUUUUCGGGCAAGUGGUCAUUAUAUUUCACUCACAAAUUUCAGAAGCAUUUUCAAAAUUUGAUAUUAGCACUCCUCAAGCACAGAAUAGGUUAUAUCGAGAUGUCAAGCAUAUUCUCCAAUGCAUACGGUCAUUGCCAUUGGGUGAUUUGAGUAAAUCUGAUACCCCAAACUGGGGUCAGCUGGAUGAAUUCUUGGUGAAAAGAUUUGGAAAUGAUGCUGUUCAGUAAACUAUAUUGUAAAGUAGCAACUCAAUUGCUUCCGUGUGAAGGCUAACAUACUGUGGAAAAAAAGGGGGGUGAUUUAAACCUUCUUCACUCUGCAUUUUUGUGUAACACUAAAUUGAGGCCUUUGGUUGGUCUAUGGGUAUACAAGGUAAUGUAUCAUUUCUGAGCAUUGUGCAGCCGUGGUUGGUCAUUUAACAAGUUUUGUAGCAGUCGAUGUUGAUAUUCAGAAUUCUUGGUUUGUCUCCUUAAUUGUAAUGUUAAGUUGAAAUAGAUAUGAUUUAGUGAAUGAAUUAAGUUUUGCCCUCACCCCCAAUCUUUCCCGUCGCUUCUUCACCCAUUGAUAUGGAUGCAUCCAUAUAUGUACACAAUUCCAGAAAUCUAUAGCGAUAUUACCAAUUUCUGUCCUUUAUUUUGA